GAAAUCCAAACUGUAAAUGUCACUCCCUGACCGUAGAGAGCUUUAUAUGUCUCUAUUUUGGUUUGGUCAGGGUGUGAUUUGGGUGGGCAUUCUAUGUCCCUUUUUCUAUGAUUUGUAUUUCUGUGUGUUUGGCCGGGUGUGGUUCUCAAUCAGAGGCAGCUGUCUAUCGUUGUCUCUGAUUGAGAACCAUACUUGUGAGCAUUACAUUGGCUUCACGGUUUCGUUUGAUGUUUAUAGUUUUUUUGGCGACAUCUUAUAAUGAAGAAGUAUGUACGCUCACCACGCUGCACCUUGGUCCUCUCCUUUCAUCAGCCAUGACAGAACUACCCACCACCAAAGGACCAAGCAGCGUGGAAGAGAGGACUGGACAUGGGAGGACAUCCUGGAAGACAUCUACAGUUUCAGCAGUCCCACUACUGGUCACCAUCAAAGCAAAUGACCAAAUGGGGGCAGCAGAGGAGCCUGUAGAGGGGAACAAGUCAUAUCACCUGCUCUGGUAUGAAGCUGUGUCAGAGAAGGUGAUAUUGUUGCUGGGAGACAGAGGGAGGCCAUCUUUGAUCCACUGUAUGGAGCUGAUGUUGCCAGCAGCCUCACAAGUCAGGCCCAGAUUCCACAACUCCAGAGAGCCAGUGGUUCUGUCCAGACUGAUCCGGUCUUUGUGGUCAGCAUUAGUAAUGUUGACCGUAGUAGAGGUGAUGAUGUUGACCCUGUUGAAGGUCCAGAGACAAAAUGUUUGGCUGGUGGACGGAGGGUUGUGGUGAACUUCACUCUCCCUCCUAUGGCUCCAGUCAAUGGUCCUGGUGGUAACACAUUCUGACCUACACACAGACCUGGACGGGACAGAGGGAGGAGGAAGGAAAUGUAUUAAUAUACACAUAAGACGUAGCAAUACAUGAAAAGAAAAACAAUACGUUUAAAUAUUUUUUAUUUUUUAUUUAUUACUUUUUAAUUUAUUACUUUUAUUUAUUACAGCUAUAGCUAUACCUAUUUGAAUAACACACUUCAAAACCCAUUAUGUUCUGCUUGUUAUUUGUAGCAAUAGGCAUACCUGAUGUUAGAAACACAAUGGCUGCUGUGAAAUGUGUAUAGUCCAUGGGGAAGGAUGGCUCUGUCUAAUGGAAGUACCUGUAGUGUUGACCAGACCAUGUCCUUACUCCUUUUAUAUUCCUAUACCACUCUGAUUGUCCCCUCUGAAGACAAGGCCCGGCCCCCCACUCAGUGACACAGAACAGAAACUAGCUUCAUGAUAUAGCUGUGUACAUACAUUACAAUGCCCUCAGGGCAUUUCCACUCUAAGAGGUUAUUGGAGGUCACGUUGGUGAGUGAAAAAUAACAACCAAUAGCUUUGUAGAGACUUCCUCUUUAGGUCUUUAUCUGUACCAUCUACCAUUCAGACAAUAGCCUAUCCCAUUGAUGAUUCAUUCUGCUUCCUAUUGGCUAUGGUGUGUCAGAGUGAUCAAUGGAGGCUUAAACAAUUGAAUUAACUCAAUAAAGCCUAAAAUGGACCUAGAUGAAAUUAACCCUUCGGUUUCUUGAUCCAGUGCACUGCCUACCAACAAUAUAUACAAUGAUCAAAGACUAGAGGUGUUGAAUAUCAAGAAGAUACUUAAAACAGAAUCCUAAAAUGUGAUAUUUGGUACAUAAUGGAGAUAGUAUACAUUAUUUAAAUACAGGUUAAAGAUCCAAUGCAGUCAUUUUUAUCUCAAUAUCAAAUCAUUUCUGGCUAACAAUUAGGGACCUUACUCUAAUGGUUUCAAUUAAAAUGGUCGAAAAGAAACAAGAUAAUUGCUUCUUAGGAAAGAGUACUGUCUCAAGCAAGAAUUCUGUCAGGACUGUCUGGGAGUGGUCUUAGUGGGGAGGUGAACUGAACACUUGCUCUUAUUGGCAAAGAUAUUUGAAACUCUCUUUCGAAUUUGUCUAUUAACUUAUUUACCGCCUAGUGAUGUCACCAGGCAGGCCAAAACUCGAUCCCACCAAAACAGGCUGAAAUUUCAGGCGAUCUUUUCAAACAGUUUUGACACUAAAAGGGCAUUAUCAUCAUUUUCACAAUUUCACAGUAUCAGAGGUGUGGACUCGAAAUAUGAUGACUAAAAAAACGUGAUCCUUGAUAG
rnacentral:lncRNA from 13 species